rnacentral:lncRNA from 1 species
UUCUGAGUGUAACCACUGUUAGCCGUUCCUCCCCGAGACUCGCUGAGAAGUGAAGGUCACAUCUGUUUCAAGCAUGGAGGCCUUUACAGCAAGCCAAUCUGUAAGGAUUCAGGCAUGUUAUAAUGACUUCUCGGCCACAUUCCACAGGUCGGUUUUAUUGUUGGAAACAGGGUGAUUUUACUACUGCAAGCAAGCAGUAUGCAAUAAAACUAAAACCCAAACCAAGUUAAACGAUGCCAUUUUUUUCCUUGCCAUGUUUUUCACAUCCAUCCUGUUAAGCACUGACCUUUGAAGAGGAGCAAAGUGGGAAUGUUAAAUUUUUCUGUAACACAGAACUCAACGGCACACUAAGCUUGAGGACAGAGCCUCAGCAAGUUCUGACUAGAACAAAGCCGUGGCACGGCUUCCAGUCAAGCGUGGCUACAUAGUUCAUCUGGAUGCUUCGAGAAUGAAUGCAACAGGGAACUUUUAAGAGACCUCAAGCCCUGUUGCCCCAACUGCCUCGUGUCAAGUACGAAUUUAGGGAAGUGUACAGAAUGUACGCAUCCAAACAGACUCAUUUGAUUCUCUAGCUUUUCUGUCUAGGAAUUAUGGAAGCAGGAUAUUUUAUUUGAUCCUGGGAUGUAUUACUGAAAAAUAAUAAAAAGGAAACUCAAUUGAUACACUAAAGUGUCGGGAAACAGGCUUUGAGGAGUAGGACACUGAGAUCACUGCAUUGAGAGCUUAGGAGCAGAGAUUCUGACUCCACUGAACAGGGUGUGUCCAUGUGCCUUCGCCUGCGUCGUUGUGGUGUGUGUGUGUGUGUGUGUGUGUGUGUGUGUGUGUUGAGGAAGUCAUUCUAGGGAAAGAAAUUUCUUUGGCUCAUGUUGCUUCAGAGAACUACUUUUAAAUGACAUUUAAAUUCUUCUAUUAAUUCAUGUUGGUAUAAAAAUGAUAAUUUUCUUUUUUUGGGAGACCAUUUACCAUCAUUCUCAUCAAUAUUUAACCAUUGGGAAGCAGGGGAGGCCUAUUAGGUUAUCUCAAGGACUGUUUAAAAAUCUGUGAUAAUUUGAAUAGAAAUUCAGUCUGAAACUUGGGGAACCUGUCUGUCUAGAAAGUGUUCUUUUUUUUUUUUUCUGUCUUUCCUUUCCCCUCCCUUCUUCAAAUUCUCCUGAUUUCUAAGCCCAGGGCAAGUUUAAUUAUAAUUAGUUAAUGUUAGUUAAUUAGGUAAUGUUCAUAUAGUGCUUUGAAGACGAAAAGUGUUUUAGAAAUGCUAAGUGCUAUCAUUAUUAAUAUCAGCAAUGGGGGAAAAUUAAGUAUGCUGAACACUUUUAGAAGCUGCAGAAUGUGAAUGUGAAGUGGCUGGUACCACGUGACUCUUCAGUUCCACCAUCACAAUUCCUCUUGGAAUCUGAAGCAGUCUUUUGUCUUCAAUGUUUGAGUGUCCAGAGUUACCUUUGCUUGUCUCAAGCAGUCGCUGCUCAGAGCAGUGAGCAAGUGACAUCUCAAACUAAAUAUUGCUCCCAACUGUGUGUUGACAAAUAUACAUCCACCCAUUCACACAUGGACAGAUCCAGCCUUCAGUGUGCGGCCACACUAGUGUUUGUCUCUGAGCGCUAAGAUAGCCCAUGGGUUCUUUGUGUUUCAAAUGGAUUGUCAUCAGCAAAAUGAAUUCUCAUUGGAUUAUCUAAUUUAUUUAAGAUAACCUGGCAAGUAGAAAUUGACACUCCUAUAAACACAUGGGAUUCUCUUAGUGGUAAUUAAGGUGUAAAUCUUUAGCAUGUGGUACCUAAACUUAGAAAUAAGUGACUGUCCUGACCUCUUACUGAUCACAGAGCACUUACAGGUGAUGUUAUACUGGACAGUACUUCAACAGCUUCUCAUGAUGUGUGCUGAAGGAACUGGGUCAAUAAUUGAGCCCUGGCCAUAGCUAAGUCUAGGUAAAGGUGAAGGUUGCUCUUUGGAGAAGAAUGAUAAUUGGAGACUCUGCCUGCCUCUCCCAUUUUCUAAAUAUGAUUACCUUCCUCUCCGUUCAAUUGCAAAGGUGCUUCUAAUGGAAAAUCGGUUACAGCUUCUGAUCUUGGAAUGAAAUCAAUCAGUUUAUGGUGGUGCAGAACAAAGGGGUAGAAAGAGAUUGGAGAUGAAUGUUGUCUCUUGCAAUGGACUUUUCCAAAAGAAGUAAAGACUAUGUGGAACGAUCCAGGCUCGUGCAAAGAUAGAUAGAAAAGUCUGGUCUCAAGACUGCCUUCCUUCUUUGUUUAGAUCAUCAAUUUCGUGCUGCCUUUCCUUCAUGUAAAUUGUUUAGGUAGGAGGAAUAUCAGGGAAGUGGCACCGAAGCAUCUUGGAAUUGAGUUAAAUUGUUCCCAAGGGUCCAAAUUGGUUUCUUGCUGUUUGGUGGAGUAAUUUGUGCAUCACACCGAAGGGCUAAUGAACACUUCACUUUGGCACUUGGAAACAGACACAUUCAGAUCAUGUUAAUCAAACAUAAUUAACUUUCAAGGAAGGAGGCUGGAAAACAAAUAUACUGAAAUAGAACAGGGAUGAAUAUGAAGUCCGUACAGUUAAAACAUGUACAUGCAUAGAAUUACUAUUCAGUUUAUAAAAACCAAACAAAAUGAAAACAAAACCAGGC